rnacentral:lncRNA from 1 species
CUCUCCUACUCUGAUACAUAAAAACAAACUAAAUAUGCGUCAUUAUUUUUGUUUAUAUGAGGAAAGACUGGUACUUUUAUGGAUAUAAUUUUAUGUGGCUGUCUUUUUUCUUUCACAUUUAAUGAAAUUUUGUAUUCCUCUCCUGCAAUGACACUACAUCGGUGACAGGCUUCAUCCUGAUGUGGAUUUGGAUGCUGCAGGUGAACACUGACUGCAUGACAAUGACUUCCAGGUCAUCUGAACAACAAGCAAGAGUGUGUGCAAGAGGAGGAAGGAGAUGGCAUAUAUGCUGUUGUACCAGAGGAGGGUGAGAAAAAAACUGUGACAGCUAAGAUCAAUCAGACCUUAAAAUAAACAUGGAUGAGCUUUCACUGAGUUAAUCACACCCAGAGCUCAACAAAAGGCUUUGUGUCUGUUUUAGGUGUAGGCCAUCCUGGCCAUGGGGUGACUAAAACCUCCAGGACUAAAUGAAAGACCGCACUAAGACCAAAAACCUGAAGUCCACUUGUCAGGCUCAUAAAGAAGAUUCGGUCCAGGUGGGUGUGUCAGGAGACCUCGCUGGUCAUCGUUUCCUUACCUUGGGUUCAUAAAGGUGAUGAAAAUGAAGUAAGUGGUUUAGGCCAGACCAUCAUCCAGUGGUCUGAUGUUCCUUAUGGUUUUUUAGACCUGUGGUCCUGGGAUGCUGUUUUUUCUUGAAACCUUUCACCUUCUAGUUCGGCUCUGAUUGGUUGAUCUCAUCACCUAUCUUAUGAAAGAACAAAUUAUUUCAUUAGGGGUAAAAAUGUCAUACUGGCUUUUUCUGAUGGUUUCAAGCAGGUGAUGUGUUUUGAAAAACUAAAAUGUGUAUUUUACUUUGAAUGUGCCUUUUUUUUACGGUUGUUCUGUAG